rnacentral:rRNA from 1 species
GCGAACGCUGGCGGCAGGCCUAACACAUGCAAGUCGAGCGCCCAGCAAUGGGAGCGGCAGACGGGAUAGUAACACGUGGGAACGUACCUUUCAGUUCGGAACAACCAAGGGAAACUUUGGCUAAUACCGAAUACGCCCGUAAGGGGAAAGAUUUAUCGCUGAAAGAUCGGCCCGCGUCUGAUUAGCUAGUUGGUGAGGUAAUGGCUCACCAAGGCGACGAUCAGUAGCUGGUCUGAGAGGAUGAUCAGCAUCACUGGGACUGAGACACGGCCCAGACUCCUACGGGAGGCAGCAGUGGGGAAUAUUGGACAAUGGGCGCAAGCCUGAUCCAGCCAUGCCGCGUGAGUGAUGAAGGCCUUAGGGUUGUAAAGCUCUUUCGUCAGGGAAGAUAAUGACGGUACCUGAAGAAGAAGCCCCGGCUAACUUCGU